GACGAACGCUGGCGGCGUGCUUAACACAUGCAAGUCGAACGGAAAGGCCCCUUUGUGGUUACUCGAGUGUCGAACGGGUGAGUAACACUUGAGUAACCUGCCCUUGACUUCGGGAUAACUUCAGGAAACUGGGGCUAAUACCGGAUAGGAAUCCUUGCUGCAUGGUGGGGGUUGGAAAGCUUCGGCGGUUUUGGAUGGACUCGCGGCUUAUCAGCUUGUUGGUGGGGUAGUGGCUGACCAAGGCUUUGACGGGUAGCCGGCCUGAGAGGGCGACCGGCCACAUUGGGACUGAGAUACGGCCCAGACUCCUACGGGAGGCAGCAGUGGGGAAUAGUGCACAAUGGGCGGAAGCCUGAUGCAGCAACGCCGCGUGCGGGAUGACGGCCUUCGGGUUGUAAACCGCUUUCAGCAGGGGAGAAGCUUUUGUGACGGUACCUGCAGAAGAAGCACCGGCUAACUACGUG
rnacentral:rRNA from 1 species